rnacentral:rRNA from 1 species
GAUGAACGCUGGCGGCGUGCCUAAUACAUGCAAGUCGAGCGAACGGACGAGAAGCUUGCUUCUCUGACGUUAGCGGCGGACGGGUGAGUAACACGUGGAUAACCUACCUAUAAGACUGGGAUAACUUCGGGAAACCGGAGCUAAUACCGGAUAAUAUUUUGAACCGCAUGGUUCAAAAGUGAAAGACGGUCUUGCUGUCACUUAUAGAUGGAUCCGCGCUGCAUUAGCUAGUUGGUAAGGUAACGGCUUACCAAGGCAACGAUGCAUAGCCGACCUGAGAGGGUGAUCGGCCACACUGGAACUGAGACACGGUCCAGACUCCUACGGGAGGCAGCAGUAGGGAAUCUUCCGCAAUGGGCGAAAGCCUGACGGAGCAACGCCGCGUGAGUGAUGAAGGUCUUCGGAUCGUAAAACUCUGUUAUUAGGGAAGAACAUAUGUGUAAGUAACUGUGCACAUCUUGACGGUACCUAAUCAGAAAGCCACGGCUAACUACGUGCCAGCAGCCGCGGUAAUACGUAGGUGGCAAGCGUUAUCCGGAAUUAUUGGGCGUAAAGCGCGCGUAGGCGGUUUUUUAAGUCUGAUGUGAAAGCCCACGGCUCAACCGUGGAGGGUCAUUGGAAGCUGGAAAACUUGAGUGCAGAAGAGGAAAGUGGAAUUCCAUGUGUAGCGGUGAAAUGCGCAGAGAUAUGGAGGAACACCAGUGGCGAAGGCGACUUUCUGGUCUGUAACUGACGCUGAUGUGCGAAAGCGUGGGGAUCAAACAGGAUUAGAUACCCUGGUAGUCCACGCCGUAAACGAUGAGUGCUAAGUGUUAGGGGGUUUCCGCCCCUUAGUGCUGCAGCUAACGCAUUAAGCACUCCGCCUGGGGAGUACGACCGCAAGGUUGAAACUCAAAGGAAUUGACGGGGACCCGCACAAGCGGUGGAGCAUGUGGUUUAAUUCGAAGCAACGCGAAGAACCUUACCAAAUCUUGACAUCCUUUGACAACUCUAGAGAUAGAGCCUUCCCCUUCGGGGGACAAAGUGACAGGUGGUGCAUGGUUGUCGUCAGCUCGUGUCGUGAGAUGUUGGGUUAAGUCCCGCAACGAGCGCAACCCUUAAGCUUAGUUGCCAUCAUUAAGUUGGGCACUCUAAGUUGACUGCCGGUGACAAACCGGAGGAAGGUGGGGAUGACGUCAAAUCAUCAUGCCCCUUAUGAUUUGGGCUACACACGUGCUACAAUGGACAAUACAAAGGGCAGCGAAACCGCGAGGUCAAGCAAAUCCCAUAAAGUUGUUCUCAGUUCGGAUUGUAGUCUGCAACUCGACUACAUGAAGCUGGAAUCGCUAGUAAUCGUAGAUCAGCAUGCUACGGUGAAUACGUUCCCGGGUCU